rnacentral:misc_RNA from 1 species
AAAGUCGUAACAAGGUUUCCGUAGGUGAACCUGCGGAAGGAUCAUUAACACGUAUCCAAACGUUAAAACCCCCCGUGAACCUUUAGUGGAUGCUCGCCCGUCCCGUUAUUUGAAACUAGCAAUCCCUGGUAAAUCAUCGCCGAACAGUUUUGAUUCAGGGACUUCUAUGAAGCGAUGGUAUAGCUUGUAGCGCCUACAAGUGGUCUGGCAUUCCUCUGCUGAAGUAGAUGUCUGAAAGUGGCAUUAGCCCUGCAAGAAUGGCGCAGUAAACGAUCGCUGGAGGCCGACACGGCCGGCGACCGGACCGCUGACCUCCGGGUCCCUAGUUCACCUUUGCAAUUGACACGGCGAGCUGAAACGCCCGCACCCAAUACUUAGAACAACUGUUAACAAUGGAUAUCUUGGUUCUC